GUGCCCAGGCCGUACCGUGGACACUUUCAUUCCCCACCUUUUUCCCUGUCCUGGGGGUGACCAUGAUAGGACACGAGGCUCACAAUCUCCCACCACCUUUUCCUGCCUCAGGUCCCUGUUCUCCCCUACUGAGGAGCAAGGUGGUGGGACUCUGCAGGGCUACUCACAGUGAUGUUCUCUCCUGGAUGUACCUCACCAGGGCUAUCAGGUGUGGACCUAAAGCUACUCCUCCCACUUUCAGGUGUGCCAAUUGGAGGAGGACCAUCAGCGAGGCACAGGCAGCAGCACAUGAAGCAACUUCGCAGUUGUUUCCAAAAGUUUCUUCUUUUGGGUGUCCAGUGGAUUGGGUCUGGGGAAGGGGCCGUGCAGCCAUAGGGGGAGCUCUGGCGACGUGGCCUCCUAAAGGGUCGGCCUCCACAGGGGAAGCAGGACAACAUGUUUUGGCUUUCAAAGUAUUUCACCAAAUGAGCUGGGAGGAGGCUGUUGCUAGAAUGUGGGUGCCUGGUUACUGGGUUCCAAGUUCUGUUUGACUCUAUGACCAAGGAAGGGGGCCCAUGUCUUGGGGUUCCUGGCCUAACCCAUCCUCCAGAUAAGCCCAUGUUUGUCCCUCUGUUGGCUCUCCUCCAGCCCCAUGCCAUUGCCAUAUGUUUACACAGCCAACCCCAACACUAGCCCCACAUCCCUUGGCAGGCAUGGGUGUAGCCAGGGUCCCAGCUCUGAGGAGACACAUCUAGGUUUCAACCCUGCUCCUCCUCCUGUCCUCUCAUGUGACCUUGGACAAGUCAUCAUGUCUCUAAGGCUUGCCCAGUGUCCCCCUGCACAGUGUCUACUUCCUAGCACUGUCACCAGGCAUAUCUGACAUAACACUUAGAAACGAUGUUGUCAAAUGUCUGUAAUGCACAAAAGUAGAGAUAAAAUAUGGAAACAGGUGAAAUUUUAACGUAGAAUAGAGCUAAGGACAGGCCUAGUCUCCUGCCUGCUGACUUUGAAAAUGCCAUUUUCCUUCCUGGCCUUCUUUCUCUGUCUGCAUCUUGAGGGGGUUGAAAUGCAAUUAGUGGGGAUAUCCUCAUCUCCCAGAGCCACCCACCUUGUUCUCUUUGGGAUGAGAGUAAGCACAGUCACAUUUAGUAAAUGAAUGAGCAAGAAUACCUUCACCUCCAUCACCCUUUCUACUCAAGUCCCAUCAAAAUAAUAAUAAUAAUAAUAAUAAUAAUAAUAAUAACCCUUCAAAAGAUCACUGUGAAGAACUCCAUACCAGGUAGGUACAGAACAUAUUCAAAAAUCUAUAACUAUGUGUAUUUGUAACUCUGUAGCAAAAUUACCUGAAAUUUUGUGGCUUAAAACAGAGAAAUUUAUUUUCUCAUGGUUCUGGAGGUGAGAAAUCUCAACAUGCCACAGGGCCAUGUUCCCUCUAGUCUCUAAACAACAAUCCUUUCUGAUCUUUUUCAAUUUUUAAUGGCCCUAUGUUUUCCCAGGUUUAGGACAGUGUCACUCCAAACUCCACCUCCAAUCUUCACAUAGCCUCCUCCUUAUUCUGUGUCCUCUCCUCUUCUUGAAGGGACACUUGACAUUAGAUUUAGAGCCCAUUCAGAUAAUACAGCAUGAUCAUCAUGAUCUCAUCUUGAGAUCCUUAAUUACAUGUGCAAGGAUCUUUUUCCAAAUACAGUUAGAUUCACUCAUUCUGAGACAAACCCACAGAAUACAGUUACUCAUACUAGACAAAGGUGCCAAAAACAUACAUUGGAGAAAAGAUAGCCUCUUCAAAAAAUGGUGUUGGGAAAACUAGAAAUCCAUAUGAUGCAAGAUGUAAUUAAACUCCUCUCUCCCUGCACAAAACUCAACUCAAAGUGGGCCAAGGACUUAGGCUUUAUAACAGAGACCCUACACCUAAUAGAAGAAAAAAGGAGACUGAAAUCUAUGUCAGCUUAGGAACUGAGUUCCUUAUCAAGACUCCUAAAGCACAAGGAGUAAAAUCAAGAAUUAAUAAAUGGGAUGGAAUCAAACUAAAAACCUUCAUCACAGCAAAGCAAACAAUCAAGCACAUGAAGAGAGAGCCUACAAAAUCAGAAAAACUCUUUACUUGCACCUGCACCUCAAAUACAGCAUUAUUCUCCAGGAUACAUAAAGAACUCAACAAACUCAACAACAACAACAACAAAAAUAACCCAAUGAAGAAAUAAGCAUCCAGCAGCUAGAGAGGCUGGGAUGGGAAGAUCACAAGUUCAAAGCCCAGCCUCAGUAACCGCAAGGUGCUAAGCAACUCAGUGAGACCCUAUCUUUAAAGAAAAUAUAAAAUAGGUAUGGGGAUGUGGCUCAGUGGUUGAGUGCCCCUGAGUUCAAUUCCCAGUAUCAAAAAAAAAAAAAGGAAAUAAUCAAAGGAACUAAACAGAUACUUCACAAAAGAAGAAGUAUGAUCAGAUAAAAAAUAUGAGAAAAUGUUCAACAUCUCUAGCAAUUAGAGAAAUGCAAACUAAACUAAAACCAUACAAGUAACAGCAAAUGUUUGCAAGGAUGUGGGAAAACAAGUACACUCAUACAUUGCUGGAGGGACUACAAAUUGGUGCAACCACUCUGGAAAGCAGUAUGGAGAUUCCUUAGAAAAGUUGAAAUGGAACUACCAUUUGAUCCAGUUAUCCACUUCUUGGCUUAUACCCAAAGGACUUAAAAUCAGACUACUACAGUGACACAGUCACAUCAAUGUUUAUAGCAGAUCAGUUCACAAUAGCCAAACUAUGGAGCCAAUCUAGGUGCUAUUCAACAGAUAAAUGAAUAAAUAUGCGGUAUAUAUACACAAUGGAAUAUUAAUAAGCAAUAAAGAAGUAUGAAAUUAUGGCAUCUGCUGGUAAAUGGAUAGAACUGGAGAAUAUCAUGCUAAGUGAAGUAAGCCAGUCCCCAAAAUCUAAAGGUCAAGGCUUCUCUCUGUUAUGUAGAUGCUAACCCAUAAUCAGGUACAGUAGGCACAGGAAGUAUAGAAGUUCACUGGAUUAGGCAAAGGGAAAUGAAGGGAAGAGAGGGGAGAUGGGGAAAGGAAAGGCAGUAGAAUGAAGCACACAUUACUUUCCCAUGCUAAUAUACGAAUACACGACCAGUGUAACUCCACAUCAUGUUCAACCACAAGAAUGGGAUCAAAAUUAUAAUGGGUUGUACCCCAAGUAUGUAUGGUAUGUCAAAAUACAGUUGACUGUCCUGCAUCUCUAAAAACAAACAAACGCUGAAAGUGAGAUGUUGAGGAUUGAAGGUCAGUAGUCACCUGGUAAGACCAAUCCCAGCAGUUCACACUGUGCUUUAUUCUGUUCACCAAAUAGGUCUUAGACCUGGGAAGUCUUCUUGUCAUACCUCACAGGAUGGCUCCACCUUAAGCCAAAAUGUGUUUGAAUUUUGUUAUUUCAUAGGCCCAACUUAGUUUUCCAUAAAGCAAAAUCAACAUUCAUCUUAUGGUGUACUUCAGUUUGUUAUUGUAGUUCCCUCUUAUCAAAAAUUUCAAUUUCUGUGGUUUCACUAAAAUGUGGUCCAAAAACAGUAAAUUUAAAACUACAGAAAAAAAAACCACUGUGUAAGUUUUAAAUUUUUCACAAUUCUUAAUACAAUGAUCAGGUAUUAAGAUUAGGUAGCAUCAUUCUCUAUCAUGACUAUGCCGUGAAUCAUCCCUUUGUCCUAUGAUGCAGGACGUGUAGUCGACCCACACAUUAGUUCCUAAACAGCCAUCUGGUCAUGAGGUAAACUGUGGUGGUUUGCACUGCUUGUACAUGGAGUUCAAUUCUAUCUGUAAUUUCAGGUUUCUACAUAGGAUAUUGAAAGGGAUCCAAUUCACAUUGAAGUCUUUCUCUUGGAACCAAAGAAGAACUGGAACAUGACUUUGAGAAACAUUUCUUUUUCCUAGGCUUCUCUGAUCUCUCUCAGCUAUAGAGACAUUGGGUUUUUUUUCAUCUCUACUUUUCAACAUAAACCAGUUCCUCCACUGAGUACCCUGAAACUUCCUGCCUUUUGCCCCAUUGCAAACUCUGUGGAAAAGAGCAUUUACUCACAUAGCUCCCUCUUCCUAAUACGCUGCAUGCCACACUGGAAUCUCUCCUCUAGAACACUAUGAUCCCCCAACAUGGCUCCAGCAUCAGUUCUGACUUUCUCCCCAUACAUUGAUUAAUUUGAGUCUCUGCUCUCCUGUGCUCAUCAGAGGUAGUUGGACAGUUUGUGUGUUCCUCCUCUGGCUUCUGCUCUGGAUCCUACUGGGUUGUUUUAGUGUUUCGGGGUGACAAUUCUCUACUGAAAAAGAAAAGGGUGACAAGUAUCUUUUAUAAACAUAUUAUUAAUUUGCUCUCAUAAGAGUGACCUCCAAUACUUGUGGCAGCUCUAGCUCCAGCUCCAUCACCAUCCUGAGAACCAGAGGAGCCGUUGCCAGAAACUCCUUCACCACCAGCUCCAGAUCUCAGGUACUAGAGGCUCAACAGCCAGUGCCAGCUCCUGAGCUGCACCUUGGACCUGCUAUGCCCAGAGCAGCCCUUCACCUCCCUUACCAUUUCACUUGUUUUCCUAUUAGUUUUGGUUAUUUUUUAUUUGCUGAUGAUUAAUUUUAAAUAAAAUUUAGUAGUUUACUCAUUUGAAAUAUUUAGUUCAAUGCAAUUAAGUGCAUGUUCAAUGUUGUAUAACCAUCACCAUUGUCUAGUUCCAGAAUAUUUUCCUCAAUCCUGUCCCCGCUCAUUGUCCUGGUUGGCCCCAGCAGCCACUCAUCAUUCUAUCCAUGUGUUGCAGAUUUGUAAUCAACAGAUAGUUGCCGGACAUCUGCUCUCUGCAUCACUGUGGGGAUGGAGGCAGAUGCAGGGCACUGUGCCACGUCACUUCUCACCCCUCCACCAAAUCAGAGACUCCUGGACUCUACCUGAUGUUUCCUGCCAACCUUACCAACUUUCAGGUUGGCCUUAUAGUGUCCUUGCCUCCCAUUUCAAGAAACGGAAGAUACAUUGUCCCCAUCAUGCUUUAAAGAAGACUGAAAUUAUGGCAAUAAUAAGACAAUCCCUCAAAAUACAAAGGCCAAAUGUUUUUUCUAACAUGUGGAUGCUAAUUGACAAUAAAGUGGGGGGCACUAGAGAAGAACAUCAUUACCUUAGACUAGGUAGAGGGAAAUGAAGAAAGGAGAGUGGAGGGGAUAUAGGAAUAGGAAAGACAGUAGAAUGAAACAGACAUUAUUACUGUAUUAUAUAUGUGACUACAUGAUUAAUAUGAUUCUGCAAUAUAUACUCAGAAAAAUGAGAAAUUAUAUCCCAUCUAUGUAUGAUAUAUCAAAGUGCAUAAAUGUCAUGUAUAACUAAUUAAAACAAAUUAAAAAUUAAUUAAAAAAGAAAAGGUAAGCCUCGGUUAGAUGGAACGUUCACAUCAUGUGGAUGUCUUUCUCUGUAUGUGCUUAUAUUUCUAAUUUCAUAGUCAGGCAUGGCCUAACAAUGGGGACUCUUUAUGAGAAAUGUAUCAGUAGGUGAUAUCGUCCUCUGAGAUCACUAUAGAGUGUACUUGUACAGGGGAAGAAGGCUAUGAUGUCACCAGGCAGUAUACUCUCAGGGGACCCCCAUCUUAUAUGCAGCCCAUCGCUGACUGUGAGGUUGGUAUGUGUUGCAUGCUUGUACAUCCAUAGGUCUUUGCCUCUGGACUGAGCCUUCAGAUGCUGGCAGGUUGGAUUUCUCUUUUUUCCUCCCCACCCUUCCAUCUCACUGUGCUCCCUAACACCAUUCUGCACUCAUCACUACCUAGUGGAUCAUCCCAGUUCCCUCCAUUAAAAGGCCGCCUCCAGUAGAAUGAGACAGACAUUAUUACUCUACAUACAUGUAGGAUAUAGUCAACUACUGGUGUGACCCUGCAUGAUGUACAGCCAGAGGAAUAAGAAGUUGUGCUGCAUUCAUAUACAGUGUGUCAAAAUGCAUUCUACUGGCAUAUACAACUAAUUAGAACAACAACAACAAAAUCCACACCUGGAUCUUCUCUGGAACCCUCCAGCAGGCUAGGGCUCCUUCACAUACAUUCUUCCAGAUGACACACCAGUUGUGGGAGCUGGUGACUUAGGAGGAUGACUGCCAGAGGGUAAGAGGGAGUGGGGACAGGGACGCUGAACUUGGCUUCUCCCUGCUGCACAUCACUUCUGAUGUAGGUGGAUCCCUCCUGGACACCAUCCAAUCCCUGCCAACAGCAGGUGGGGUCCUGGCUACCAACUCUUUAAUGCCCAAUAGUGAGCAGCAAGAGGACACUAAGUUUUAGCAAAUAGUCAUCUCCAGUCAUACCUCUCAGUAUCCAAGUGGGAUAGGUCACAGAACCCCUUGAAUACCAAAAUCACCAUAUGCUCUACUCCCUUAAAAAAUUGUGUAGAAUUUGCAUGUAACCUCCACAGUCUUCCUUCCAGAUACUUUAAAUCAAACUGAGAUUCUUUAAGAUGUAAAUGCUUUGAAAUGGUUGUCAAGGUCUUUUUUAGGGAAAAAUGACAAGGAAAAAAGUCUUUAAGUAUUCAGUAAUGAAGUGAAUAUUUUUUCAAACAUUUCCAUCUGAGGGUGGUUGAGUCUGUGGAUGCAGAAGCUGAGCCUACAGAAGGCUGACUACUGAUUACAGAGUCUUCUCUAGAAAGGCACAAAAUGGGCAGAACUGGACCCAGAGGCACCUUCUGGGGAAAUGAAGAAUAGAACCUUCAUCUCUCUCUAACUGUUGCCAGUCAUAGUGACUUGUGUCCAAGAAGCUGAGGGUUUGCAACCCCAGAAGGUGAGAGGGAGCUAGAGGAAAUCUUCCCCCAACGAUGCUGUGGAGGUCCCCAAUCCUCACUGCAUCCCUCAAACUUCCCUGCGGUCAGGAACGAUGGAAAACAUGCCCUAGUUUUCAAGAAGCCACCACUGAGUUAAGACAAGGGCAGCCCACUAGGGCAGAAAGCAGGGCUGGAGGAUGGAGGGGCAGGGCCAGAGCCCUUCCCACCAGGUCAGCUGUUGGGUAGGACAGCAAAGUGCAGGUUACUGUCAGCUAUUCAUCAGCCCACUCAGACCAGCCGGAGUCCCUCUUUGCUUCCUGGCCCCCACCCAGCUGUACAUCCCCCUGGGGACCAGUCCAGGCUCUGGGAGGACCACAGCCACGCACACCAGGAGAAUGUGCCAGGACAUGCUUUGGUUGGCACUGCUGGUCUGUCUGUGCUUGGGAAGCCCCACCCUGGGUCACAACAAAUAACACAAAUGCAUCCUUAUCACACAAGAACUGCACUGAAAAAAUGGAAAGAAACUUGUAUUACUGUGAAAAAACCACAUAAAUGAAAUUAACAAGCAGAAAUGUGAUAUACAUGUCUUAGCUCAGACUUUGGCUCACAUUUGCUGGGUUCACUCCCUCCUCAACAUCAGCAUCUCAUGAAUAUUCCACUAUGUGUUGCAAUGUUUUUCUCACUGUUUGUAUAACAUAUAAAACUAAAUAAAACCAUGCACAACAAAUUGGGAGUUGUCAUUAUUUUAAAAUGGCAGGAUCUGGCAGGUGCUGUCUUCUAAUGGUGGUCUGUGGGUGCCAUUAUGGACAGUGACAAUGCUGUGGUUUGGGUAAGUGCUCCCAAAGGUCCAAGUGUUGUCACCAUUUCAGUCUUGUCACCAUACUGAGGUGCCAUCAUGACCUGGUGGUAGCACUAUGAAGGAGUACUAACUGAAAAAAUUGGGGCUUCUAG
rnacentral:lncRNA from 1 species